rnacentral:rRNA from 1 species
UACGUAGGGGGCUAGCGUUGUCCGGAAUCAUUGGGCGUAAAGCGCACGUAGGCGGCUUUUUAAGUCAGGGGUGAAAUCCUGGAGCUCAACUCCAGAACUGCCUUUGAUACUGGGAAGCUUGAGUCCGGGAGAGGUGAGUGGAACUCCGAGUGUAGAGGUGAAAUUCGUAGAUAUUCGGAAGAACACCAGUGGCGAAGGCGGCUCACUGGCCCGGUACUGACGCUGAGGUGCGAAAGCGUGGGGAGCAAACAGG